GACGAACGCUGGCGGCGUGCUUAACACAUGCAAGUCGAACGGAAGGGCCCUGCUUUUGUGGGGUGCUCGAGUGGCGAACGGGUGAGUAACACGUGAGUAACCUGCCCUUGACUUUGGGAUAACUUCAGGAAACUGGGGCUAAUACCGGAUAGGAGCUCCUGCUGCAUGGUGGGGGUUGGAAAGUUUCGGCGGUUGGGGAUGGACUCGCGGCUUAUCAGCUUGUUGGUGGGGUAGUGGCUUACCAAGGCUUUGACGGGUAGCCGGCCUGAGAGGGUGACCGGCCACAUUGGGACUGAGAUACGGCCCAGACUCCUACGGGAGGCAGCAGUGGGGAAUAUUGCACAAUGGGCGGAAGCCUGAUGCAGCAACGCCGCGUGUGGGAUGACGGCCUUCGGGUUGUAAACCGCUUUCGCCUGUGACGAAGCGUGAGUGGCGGUAAUGGGUAAAGAAGCACCGGCUAACUACGUG
rnacentral:rRNA from 1 species